UACGGGGGGGGCAAGCGUUGUUCGGAAUUACUGGGCGUAAAGGGCUCGUAGGCGGCCAACUAAGUCAGACGUGAAAUCCCUCGGCUCAACCGAGGAACUGCGUCUGAUACUGGAAGGCUUGAAUCCGGGAGAGGGAAGUGGAAUUCCAGGUGUAGCGGUGAAAUGCGUAGAUAUCUGGAGGAACACCGGUGGCGAAGGCGGCAUCCUGGACCGGUAUUGACGCUGAGGCGCGAAAGCUAGGGGAGCAAACGGG
rnacentral:rRNA from 1 species